rnacentral:lncRNA from 1 species
GUUUGUUGUUAGUAAAUUAAAACAUGAAAUAUGAAUUGCUAUAUAGCUAUGAAAAUCCUACAUCCUGUCGAUAGAUAUAGGAAGAUGCGGUGUGAGUGCCAAUGAGACAACUCUCAAAUCCUGUCGAUGUCUAUCUUUUGGCAUCCUUUUUUCUCAGACUUUAAUGACCUCUUUACAAUAAAUUAAUAAGAUGUGAAAUGAUUG